GGAAGGGAACCGAGGGGAAGAGAAUGUCAAGCCCUCAGCUGGAACAAGAGUGGGAAGGCGAUCUAACAGGGAAUAAUCUGCGGACCGCGGUUCCACAGAGGAGACACUAAAGGAAUUAAAAGCAGGGACUCAGGGAGGUCGAUGGGAGUGAGAAGUAAAAGGCGCAGCCAGGCAGUGGGCCAUUUCUGAGUCGCGUUUAAUAGUCUGUUGUGCAACAACUGUGGCGUUGAAAUCUUUACCAGAAGAUUCAUAGCACCCAGAGGGGAGUGGAGCCUCUCAUCUUCUUCCAAACCUCAGCCUCCAGCCCUUGGAUUGGAGCACCGAGGAGCUGAGCCUCAGAUGCAUCUUCUAUUUUACAGAGAUUAGCUGUCUGCCACCGUCUAGGGUUUCCCAGCUGCAACCGACCUGCAUUCCGUUCUGCCAGAAACGCUCUGUCCUUCAUCUCGGUGGGGUCCGUCAGCCAGUGGGUCCAGAAGCUGGGCAGCUAGGGUCGAGGGGGGAGGGUGUUCCACAGCGAGGAGAGGAGCUUCGGACGCCCUGGGGACCACGGAGCCCGAGACAAACCAACUGGUCUGGGGGUGACGUGUCCAGGGUCAGGGAGGCGGGAAAGGAGAAAAGGACGAAGGCUGUGCAAAAGUUCUACCCUCCGCCUCAUCUUUAUAAUCUCUCCAUUUAUUCAUUUAUUUCUUUGUUCUUUUCCUACAUUUGUUUUAACCUGUUGUUCCUAAGCUUUGUAUUCACAUGCCUGUUAUACGAAGGUCAUUUACGUAAGUGAUUACAAAUGUAAUUUUCGCCCGUGUGUUUUUCCCAAUGGAUUGCGAGGUCCUCAAGGGCAGGUACAGUAUCUUCUGUUCCUUUUCGGUGUUCUCAAAAACCUAGUACGGUGCUACACGCGAUAGGUGCCCAGGACCAUGUUCUGCAUAGAGUAGGUGCUCAGUACAGAGCCCUGCACAAAGUAGGUGGCCAGUACUGUGCUCUGCCUAAGAAAGUGCUCACUAAAUGCCGAUGAUGAAGCCACG